rnacentral:rRNA from 1 species
AACGAACGCUGGCGGUGCGCUUAAUGCAUGCAAGUUGAACGAGAAAGAUCUGAUUCGUUGGAUCUGGACAGUAGCAAACGGCUGAGUAACACGUAAGUGACCUGCCCCGAAGCGGGGGAUAAUCUCGAGAAAUCGGGCUUAAUACCGCGUAAGUCCCAUUGAUUACGGUCAAUGGGGGAAAGGUAUUUUGAUUCGUUGAAAUAUCGCUUUGGGAGGGGCUUGCGGCCUAUCAGGUAGUUGGUAAGGUAACUGCUUACCAAGCCUAAGACGGGUACCCGGUGUGAGAGCACGAACGGGCAGAGGGGGACUGAGACACGGCCCCCACUCCUACGGGAGGCAGCAGCAGGGAAUCUUGCGCAAUGGGCGAAAGCCUGACGCAGCGACACCGCGUGAGGGAUGACGGCCUUAGGGUUGUAAACCUCUUUUCUUGGGGAAGAAUUUUUGACGGUACUCAAGGAAUAAGCAUCGGCUAACUACGUGCCAGCAGCCGCGGUAAUACGUAGGAUGCGAGCGUUGUUCGGAAUUAUUGGGCGUAAAGAGCGAGUAGGCGGUAAUUCAAGUCUUAUGUGAAAUCUCCCGGCUUAACUGGGAGCGGUCAUGAGAAACUGUUUUGCUAGAGGAUACCAGAGGUAAGUGGAAUUCCCGGAGUAGCGGUGAAAUGCGUAGAUACCGGGGGGAACACCAGAGGCGAAGGCGACUUACUGGGGUAUUCCUGACGCUGAGGCGCGAAAGCAUGGGUAGCAAACCGGAUUAGAUACCCGGGUAGUCCAUGCCCUAAACGAUGGAUACUAGACUUGGGGGGUAUCGACCCCCUCUGAGUCGUAGCUAACGCGAUAAGUAUCCCGCCUGGGGAGUACGGCCGCAAGGCUAAAACUCAAAAGAAUUGACGGGGGCCCGCACAAGCAGCGGAGCGUGUGGUUUAAUUCGAUGAUAAGCGAAAAACCUUACCUAGACUUGACAUGUUUCUGACAACUGCCGAAAGGCAGCUUUCCUUCGGGACAGAUUCACAGAUGUUGCAUGGCUGUCGUCAGCUCGUGCCGUGAGGUGUUGGUUUAAGUACCGCAACGAGCGCAACCCUUGUCGUUAGUUACUUUUUCUAGCGAGACUGCCCCUAAUUUAGGGGAGGAAGGUGGGGACGACGUCAAGUCGGCACGGCUCUUACGUCUAGGGCUACACACACGCUACAAUGGCCGGUACAGAGGGUUGCGAUAUCGCGAGAUGGAGCUAAUCCCAUAAAGCCGGUCUUAGUUGGAAUUGUAGGCUGAAACUCGCCUACAUGAACGAGGAGCUGCUAGUAACCGCAGGUCAGCACACUGCGGUGAAUACGUUCCCGGGCCUUGUACACACCGCCCGUCAAGUCAUGGAAGUCGGAAACACCUGAAGUCGCUGUACUAACCUUUCGAGGAUGUAGGCGCCGAGGGUGGAGCUGAUGACUGGGACUAAGUCGUAACAAGGUAACC